GGGCCAUUAGCUCAGUUGGUUAGAGCUACCGGCUCAUAACCGGUUGGUCCUGGGUUCGAGUCCCCGAUGGCCCACCA
rnacentral:tRNA from 1 species